CACCGUAGAGAAACGUCAUUUAGAUAUUACCAAGCAGGUACGUACGAACGUGUAUAUACUCGCACAUAACAGGGUUAAGAAACGCGUUGACUAUGUUUAGAAAGAAACCACCACAGGAGAAGUCCAUUGGAAGGUGGUGAAACGUUUGCUCUCGACGUGGCUUCGUGGCACGAAGGGAAUACGAGAUAAAUAGAGAUGACGUUCUUACUACUGUGAGGAGGUCUGUAUAUUUAACCGAUCACCACGGUAUUUUCUUCUUUUCUAAACGAAAUAGAUUGAAUUGUGGUGUUUCCAUAAUUAUCCUCGUUUCUCGUCUCUCCUCGUCUCUGAUAAACUCGAAAACAAAACAAGCACGUAUAGAGCAUGGAAUUUCGACCAAGAAUAGAACACUUCGACGAUACACCAACACGAGAUACGUAAAUGCUUCUGGUUUAACGUCAACAUGCGUCACUCUGGCUUGACAAUUAAGUCGACGUUGGGACGACAUUAUAUUCCACGUUCCAACGAACCGGGAUUAUUAACUCAUCGUGGUUGCGUAACGUAGCGAGUCUAGUGGAACGAAAAUUCCCCGGUGUGAUAUUGCGCCGAAGGUCUUUAACAUUCCAUUAAAAUGCGAUAUCAGGCAAAACACCGGAGAAAUCCGUAUCAUUCGUAGCCUAGUCAUCGUCGGUUAACGAUGUCGACCGUCUUGUCGUUGACAUUUUUCCGCCGACAGUCCUAACAUUGCGCAACCAGAGGGCGAGAAACGAUUCACGUCGACGCUGAACCGUCGUGACUCGUCCAGUUGUCUACAGUCAUCGAUCCCCAGCAGCUUAUGCACCCGGAAACCGUGCCACAAUUCCACGAGGUAAUUCGAUUCGCGGCCGAAGGAAAUCGGGACGACGACUGGAAUCGUCCUCUCUGUAAUCACGUCGGUGUAAUCGCUUUGGAUGAGCCGGGGAUUGGCAAAGCGAUGGAAAUUUUUCCUCGUUCCCGACGAAUUAAUUUCGCCCUGUUCAAAGGGUUAACGGGACCGUGGCCACGGAAAUAAUCUACAGCACCUUAGCGUUACUCCUACACAUUCUCUUGCUUCUCUGACGUAAGAAUCGAGCAACACAAUAGAAACGAGAGAAAGAGAGAGAGAGACAGACAGAAGAAGAAUCGACGCGAAGCUGUGCUGGUGAAAUGAUUAUGCCCUGAGAAAAAAGACGUCAGGAAGACGGCAACAUGUUCAAUCUUUCAAGCAGGGCGUAGAAAAUUUACAUUGUCCGUUUAUUUAUUUUUUGUCAAAAUUUAUUUACUUUCAAUAUCUGAUUUUAUUUGCAACGUUUUAUCAUAUCAUUACUAUCCUGCGAAA